rnacentral:rRNA from 1 species
AUUCCAGCUCCAAUAGCGUAUAUUAAAGUUGUUGCAGUUAAAAAGCUCGUAGUUGAACUUCGGAACCGGUCGAUUGGUCCGUCCUCUGGAUUGUGUACUGAUCGAUCUGUUCUUCUUCGCGAAGACCGCGUGUGCCCUUAACUGGGUGUGCACGGGAUUCACGACGUUUACUUUGAAAAAAUUAGAGUGUUCAAAGCAGGCAUUCGCUUGAAUAUCUCAGCAUGGAAUAAUAGAAUAGGACUUUGGUCUUAUUUUGUUGGUUUCCGAGACCGAAGUAAUGAUUAAUAGGGACAGUUGGGGGCAUUCGUAUUUCAUUGUCAGAGGUGAAAUUCUUGGGUUUAUGAAAGACGAACUUCUGCGAAAGCAUUUGCCAAGGAUGUUUUCAUCG